rnacentral:rRNA from 1 species
AGAACGAACGCUGGCGGCAGGCCUAACACAUGCAAGUCGAACGCCCCGCAAGGGGAGUGGCAGACGGGUGAGUAACGCGUGGGAACAUACCUUUCGGUUCGGAAUAGCUCAGGGAAACUUGGAUUAAUACCGGAUACGUCCAAGGUUUAACGACUUUGGAGAAAGAUUCAUCGCCGAAAGAUUGGCCCGCGUCCGAUUAGCUAGUUGGUGGGGUAAAAGCUUACCAAGGCGACGAUCGGUAGCUGGUCUGAGAGGAUGAUCAGCCACACUGGGACUGAGACACGGCCCAGACUCCUACGGGAGGCAGCAGUGGGGGAUAUUGGACAAUGGGCGCAAGCCUGAUCCAGCCAUGCCGCGUGAGUGAUGAAGGCCCUAGGGUUGUAAAGCUCUUUCGUCAGGGACGAUAAUGACGGUACCUGAAGAAGAAGCCCCGGCUAACUUCGUGCCAGCAGCCGC